rnacentral:misc_RNA from 1 species
ACCUGCGGAAGGAUCAUUACCGAGUGCGGGCUGCCUCCGGGCGCCCAACCUCCCACCCGUGACUACCUAACACUGUUGCUUCGGCGGGGAGCCCCCCAGGGGCGAGCCGCCGGGGACCACCGAACUUCAUGCCUGAGAGUGAUGCAGUCUGAGCCUGAAUACAAAUCAGUCAAAACUUUCAACAAUGGAUCUCUUGGUUCCGGCAUCGAUGAAGAACGCAGCGAACUGCGAUAAGUAAUGUGAAUUGCAGAAUUCAGUGAAUCAUCGAGUCUUUGAACGCACAUUGCGCCCCCUGGCAUUCCGGGGGGCAUGCCUGUCCGAGCGUCAUUGCUGCCCUCAAGCCCGGCUUGUGUGUUGGGUCGUCGUCCCCCCCGGGGGACGGGCCCGAAAGGCAGCGGCGGCACCGUGUCCGGUCCUCGAGCGUAUGGGGCUUUGUCACCCGCUCGAUUAGGGCCGGCCGGGCGCCAGCCGGCGUCUCCAACCUUAUUUUUCUCAGGUUGACCUCGGAUCAGGUAGGGAUACCCGCUGAACUUAAGCAUAUCAAUAAGCGGAGGAAAAGAAACCAACCGGGAUUGCCUCAGUAACGGCGAGUGAAGCGGCAAGAGCUCAAAUUUGAAAGCUGGCCCCUUCGGGGUCCGCGUUGUAAUUUGCAGAGGAUGCUUCGGGUGCGGCCCCUGUCUAAGUGCCCUGGAACGGGCCGUCAGAGAGGGUGAGAAUCCCGUCUUGGGCAGGGUGCCCGUGCCCGUGUGAAGCUCCUUCGACGAGUC